rnacentral:rRNA from 1 species
GACGAACGCUGACGGCGUGCCUAAUACAUGCAAGUUGAGCGCUGAAGGUUGGUACUUGUACCAACUGGAUGAGCAGCGAACGGGUGAGUAACGCGUGGGGAAUCUGCCUUUGAGCGGGGGACAACAUUUGGAAACGAAUGCUAAUACCGCAUAAAAACUUUAAACACAAGUUUUAAGUUUGAAAGAUGCAAUUGCAUCACUCAAAGAUGAUCCCGCGUUGUAUUAGCUAGUUGGUGAGGUAAAGGCUCACCAAGGCGAUGAUACAUAGCCGACCUGAGAGGGUGAUCGGCCACAUUGGGACUGAGACACGGCCCAAACUCCUACGGGAGGCAGCAGUAGGGAAUCUUCGGCAAUGGACGAAAGUCUGACCGAGCAACGCCGCGUGAGUGAAGAAGGUUUUCGGAUCGUAAAACUCUGUUGGUAGAGAAGAACGUUGGUGAGAGUGGAAAGCUCAUCAAGUGACGGUAACUACCCAGAAAGGGACGGCUAACUACGUG